rnacentral:antisense_RNA from 1 species
UUUCACCGAGCCGAGCCACAACGGCCGUUCCACCGGGCGGUGCCGGCCGUAGGUGGCCGCCAAGGCCUGCGCCUC